AUUAAUUUGAGAGUUUGAUCCUGGCUCAGGACGAACGCUGGCGGCGUGCCUAAUACAUGCAAGUCGAACGAACUCUGGUAUUGA
rnacentral:rRNA from 2 species